rnacentral:lncRNA from 1 species
UGGGGUAUUGGUCGUGACCGCCAAUCGAAGGGUUAUCUCUAUAACGAGUCAUCCAAGGGCGGCAUAUGUUCGCUAAGACUUGAGGCAAUUAAGACACUUUGCCCUCAUAAUUCAAGCGCGUGUCUUGUGGGCUUGUGGACUGGGCGGGACCUGAUCAUGAUAGGACCCGCCCAUAGUUAGAGCUUGGUGUGACUAUAGGACGGCUAGGCGAGGCCUCUUUAGGGCGACCAACUCUCUGGGUCGAGGAUUUGUGAGGCCCAAAGGCCCAAUUAAGCUAGCAUUAGGAUUUUAGAUCACCCCACUAUAAAAGGGGAGGUCACUCAUUGUAAAAGAGAUCUUUCAUUAAUAUACUACACUCUUAUCUUCUCCUAGCUUUGUCUGCUAGGGUUUUAGAUAAGGUCUCUUCUUCAUAUGAGAUCUAGGUCCAGAACAUUGGCGCCGUGUGUGGCUUACCAUGACCAUGGAAAAUCCUUUGUGUUCUUGCUGAGUUGAGAAAGCACACCGGAAAAAGUGUGAGUGAAAGAAGUUCGUGGUGAAGGACGAAGGAAAAAUUGUGUGCAAAAAUCAAAAUGAAGAAGCAGCAAUGGUUGAUGAAGUAGGAGGGAACCUUCAAUCGGUGUCAUCUACAUUACGAUAGGGUCGCCAACAGCAGCAGCAGCUGUUCCGCCUACGCAGAUCAUACGAGAUUUGGAACAGGGUAUAUGGCGUGCGUGCAUCUGGUGAGGCGAUUCUCAGGCCUCAUCUUAGUCCUUGUUACAGUUGAAGUAAGACCCAUCCUCUUCUGGGUUUGCUCGUGAAAGUGGAGGAAGAAAUGAACAGCAGAGGGAAAGCAAAUCGAAGACCUGCAAAGCCGAUGGCGAGGGUGUUUGAUAAAAUGACUCUGAGUUAGUUUGUGUAAAUGAGGACCGUGAAAGGCAGUUGGAGAAAGAUUGCUUCUGGAUGGAGUUCUCAGGCUUGGAAAACGGCUAUUUCGAAGCACAAAUGGCCAUAGUCUCACUGAAAAAUAUUACUCUAUUGCUCUUAGUUGAUUGGUUUGAUUGAUCUGGUUUUAAAUUUGUUAUUAUAUUAAUCUCCAUCUGCUCGAUGGGUAUGGUUUCACCUCUGGUUUUAGUUAUUGUCUGAAUAUGUGAGGUACUUAUGUGUUUGGUUAUGGAUAAUUAGAGAUGCAUGAAUAUGAAGUGAUGUAGGAAGGACGAAGAGACAGUUAGCUUAGGAGUAGAUAUAUAAUUUUCUUGGUAUUUUUAUUUUGGUUUCUGAGUCAUACACACGGUUUGGUUAAUUGAUUGACUGAAUUUAUAAGCACAUUACCAUUGAAAUUUUAAUGCCUAUAAACUGUUCUAUAAAACUCCUGACUGGUUUUCUCUCUUUCCCCUCAUGUCUCUGUUGCCUGAGAAACGGGAAAAGACGGUGAGUCAAUGGCGGAGCACAGUGCGAUUGCAACCACGGUUAUGUCUCAGGUCAUCUCUUUCCUUAUCACGACCUGCUUAAGUUGCUUUCUAAUUCUGUUGCAGCCUCUGUCCAGAAGUUGUUUCAGAAAAUGCUUGAAUGAAUACUGCUUCAAAUAGUUAUUGAAAUUAUAAUGCCUGCAAACUGCUCGAUGAAACACUUCACUGAAUUCUUUGCUUAAUAUUAAUGGUAAAGAGUCGAAUAAUUUUCAGUCAAAUAUAAGGAUAAAUGUUUUACCUAUCCUGGACUGACUUUGUAAUUCAGUUAUGUUGCUUGGAGACUUGGAUUGAUUUUAUUUUGGAUAAUCUAUUUGAGUUAUUUUGCUGCAUAUAAUGAGCUCGGAAUAUUUCCCAUUUUGUUGGCCAUUUUUUAUGAAAAAUUGUCAUUUCUAUAUGAUGAAUUCUGCCUAUGAGUAUGCUUUGUCUUGGACUCUUUGUGUGAAACUAAUAUUGUUUACCUGAAUGGGAACUAUUGAGGUUGAUGAAUUUCAGUUCGAAAGUGUUCUCUUAAUGCUUGUUAUUUGUUUGCUAAAUUGUUAUAAUAAGUUCAUUAAUGUGACUCAGUGCUUAGUGAUUAUAUCAGAUGGGCCCAGAAUUAUGGUUAACCGAUUUGAAACUAGUUGGUAACUCUCAUCUUUCAAAAAUUCCAUCUUUUCUUCUCUUUUGUGAGUUAAUUUUUGUCCUUUAUUUCAAGAUGGCCUUAACAAGAAGUUUUCUAGAGUAAAAAAUAAGUUAGACAGACCAACUUUCUCUUGGCCUUUUGAUUUUAUCGAAACAUGAUAAAGAAACUGAACUCCUUGCACAGCCAGUCAUAAUCACUGGAUCAUAAUCUUUUAAAAGAGAAUACAACCAGUUUUCUUAUCAAUUGAAUACACUAUGUCAGCACAAUCUGUACAUUCUGUUUACUUUUACAAAUCAUAUUCAACUUUUGUGGCAAAUAAAACCCCAGAUAUGCUAAAUUAGCAGUGUUUUCUUUUCCAGCCAAUUGCAAGUUGCUUUAGAAAUUUUCUACUGCAGUUUUUUAUUUUAUCUUCAUUGGUAUGCCUCUGCUACCUUCAUGUAUUAUUGCAUCUUCUUACAACUAUCACUUGUUUCAUAUGCUUUCUAUAAUGAAAUGCAACUACGAGGGAAAUGCUUGAAGAAACAGCGGAAUAAGGAGGAGCCCCCUUAAAUUGCCUUGGAAACAUGAGAGUCAGAAAUCCCCCCUUUUAAGAUGCAUGGGAUCCAAAGCAGAUACAACACAUCGGGUAAAUUUUCAGGGAAUAAUGUAUAGUAAAGAAGGGGAUGAUGAUAAUAAAGACAAAGGCAUACAAGUUGUGCUUAAGUGGAACUGUGAAUGAAAAGCUUGAGGAAAGUAAAUAUCAAAAACCAGAAUAGCAACUAGAAACGGGAACUGAGACUGCAAGACAAGUAAGCACAAUCUCAAAACUAGUUUCCUUUGAUGAAUAGUGAAAAUUAUCACUGUUAUACCUGGCUUAUGAAGAGUUGAAUUCUAUGAUAUCUUGCUGAGUUAAUUGUCAGUAUAUAGGGAUUUCAUCUUCACUGUAUGGUGUAAUUAUAUGAUUACAAACUGGUUUUCAGAAACAUGUUAUCAAUGGAUAGGACUGUAUUCUUCUACACAUAAUUUACCACAGGAAGCUAUGAGAAAAUAUUGCAUAAGUGCACACCAAUGACAUGAAAACAACUCUUUAAAUAGAUUCAUUGUAGAAUGAAUUGUUUCUAUUAUAAGAAAAGAUAAUUCAUUGGCUCCUCAAAGUUUUUGCUGAAUUGCUUACAGUAAAAUGGAUUUAGCUUUGAGGCUUUGCUUGAAUGCUAUACUUCAUACUACAAUUGAAUGUGUAUCAUGUUCUCUUUUCAAUUUAUAUCAUGUGAAAUUCUUUGGCUUCAAAUCACCACUUCAUUUGACUCCAAUUUAAAAAGAUGGGUUGCUAAAUUGCUGGCGAAAUUACAAAAUGGUGUCGCUUUUGAAAGUCCUUAAGAGGGCAUUGAUCUCUUUUUGGUUUUCAAAGGAGGGAGAAGGAGAAUAGAAUGCCUCUAGGCUUCCUUAAACAGUAUGUCUAGCCAAGAUAAAGAUUUUCAAAUACAAGGCUAUUUAUUGCUGAAAUCUAUUUGAUGAUUAUCAACGUUGAUUACAAAUUCAAUUCAAAAUUUGAUGUGUAGACCCAAUUGCAAUGUUGAUCUUUUUUUUACAAAUAUGAGUGUAUUGAUUUGGCUUAUUUAGGGAAGUUCAUUUAAUUAUGUUAUCACUUUGAUGACCUAUUCUAAAUUACCCUCACACCAAAUAUCAUGUGAUAUCAAAGUGAAUCUGUUGAGCUCGCCUAUAGCAUGUUGUUGACGAGCAAUAUGAGAUGGGCGAGCUAAAUGACACGUUGAUAAAGAAGUAGGUUGAGGAAGAGGAAAGGAAGAUGCAGUUGAGGCAUCCCUUCCUGUUACAACAAAUUGUAACAUGAUAUAUUGAAAAAAAAAAGGAAAGAAAGAAGAAAAAGAAAAGAAGAAAAGAAAAGAAGAAAGAAGAAAAAGAAAAUUAUAGUUAUUCGGGUCGCACAUGGGCGUUUACUUUUUGGAAACGUCUUUAUGGGCGGGAGUCGAUUCUGUUUGUUGUCAAACUAUAGUGCGCCAUGACAAAAUGUCAAAGGUACAAGCUACCGCGUAAGCCUUUCGGAAUAAGAAAGCGGCACACUGAGCAUACACAGCCUUGGCAAUCCUAGUGGCCACUAGGAACCAAGCCCCGUCUGUAAAAGGACUAAGGCCGAAAGCGUCUAAGCCUUGAAUUUAAGUUCAAGCACAAAACAAGCCUCGCCACGGCGAGCCAAGUCUCGGUAAAUUUAGCACUAAAAAAAAAACAAAAAAAACAACAACAAAAAAAGAAGAAGAAGAAAGGCAAAGGCUUUGAAUUUCUUAUUGUGGGUGAUGCUCAAAUGAAAUAAAGCUGUUGUAGAAAAAGGCGGGCAAAAGACACGCUCGAUUUCCAAAGAAGGGAUGUACUCAUUCAAAAGAAGGCGACCUAUAAGAAAGGGAAGUUGAUGCAAAAUAAAACAUAGUUUGGUAUCUUCUAUACUUAUCAUCUUACACUUUUGCAUUCUCUGGAAUGAUUGAAACAUGGUUAAGUUCUUAAAAGAAUUGUGGCUUAAUUCAAAGUGACAAGAUUAAAGAAUAUUGUUAUUCACAUUUGAUUGUUCAAGUGACUCUAAUAUGUAAUUUCCAAUACACAAGUUUUCAUGUUCAUUUAAGAUGGAUGAGAAAGAAAGAGCAACGCCCGGGGCGUUCAAAAUACUAUGAUUCGCCAUAAAGAGGCGACUAAGCAUGCUGAUUAUAAUUGUUGGAAAAGCUAAUCAUUAUUUUCAAGUUGACACAUGAAAGACAGGUAACAGGUCACACAAAGCGUGACGAUCUACUAUUAGAAAGGCGAGCAUGACUUGAGGCGAGCAUGAUGUGAUUGGCGAGCUUCAUGGCAAGUCUUGAGGGACAACAUGCAAUCAUGGGGAGGCGAGACAGUAAAGACACUUUGCCUUCAUGCUUCAGACGCAGUGUCUUGUGGGCUUGUGGGCUAGUCAGAUACUUCCCAAACUCGAUUUCACCAUCCGGCAGACCACCUCCUCAGGCAUGGACGGUUCGGUGAAGCUUAUGAUUAUUAGUCGCCCUUUUGUCUGGUUGUAUAUUCAUUAUGCCAUUGUUGACACUUUUAAUUUUAUUAGUUGCCCCUUGCGGCGGGUUGUAUGUUUAUGACGCCAUGUUGGCGACCUAUAUGCUUUAUAGUGACUUGUAUGCUUUAUGGAGGGCGAGUUGUAUUGCCCAAGUCGAGAUUAGAGCAAUGUAGCCUGAAAGGCUAGUUGUGGGGGGACAUCCUGGGGUAUUGGUCGUGACCGCCAAUCGAAGGGUUAUCUCUAUAACGAGUCAUCCAAGGGCGGCAUAUGUUCGCUAAGACUUGAGGCAAUUAAGACACUUUGCCCUCAUACUUCAAGCGCGUGUCUUGUGGGCUUGUGGACUGGGCGGGACCUGAUCAUGAUAGGACCCGCCCAUAGUUAGAGCUUGGUGUGACUAUAGGACGGCUAGGCGAGGCCUCUUUAGGGCGACCAACUCUCUGGGUCGAGGAUUUGUGAGGCCCAAAGGCCCAAUUAAGCUAGCAUUAGGAUUUUAGAUCACCCCACUAUAAAAGGGGAGGUCACUCAUUG